rnacentral:snoRNA from 1 species
CGUCAAUGAUGUCCUAAUCUACGAUUUAAUUCGAAUUGCUGUGAGAUAAUCUGAUGCAAAACAACUGAGACU